rnacentral:rRNA from 1 species
AUUGAACGCUGGCGGCAGGCCUAACACAUGCAAGUCGAGCGGAUGAAGGGAGCUUGCUCCUGGAUUCAGCGGCGGACGGGUGAGUAAUGCCUAGGAAUCUGCCUGGUAGUGGGGGAUAACGUCCGGAAACGGGCGCUAAUACCGCAUACGUCCUGAGGGAGAAAGUGGGGGAUCUUCGGACCUCACGCUAUCAGAUGAGCCUAGGUCGGAUUAGCUAGUUGGUGGGGUAAAGGCCUACCAAGGCGACGAUCCGUAACUGGUCUGAGAGGAUGAUCAGUCACACUGGCACUGGGACCCGGGCCAGCCCCCUACGGGGGGCAGCAGUGGGGAAUUUUGGACAAUGGGCGAACGCCUGCUCCACCCAUGCCGCGGUUGUGAAGAAGGUCUUCGUAUUGUAAAGCCCUUUAAGUUGGGAGGAAGGGCAGUAAGUUAAUACCUUGCUUUUUUGACUUUCCCAACAGAAUAAGCCCCGGCUACCUUCG